rnacentral:rRNA from 1 species
AGAGUUUGAUCCUGGCUCAGAUUGAACGCUGGCGGCAUGCCUUACACAUGCAAGUCGAACGGCAGCGCGGGGCAACCUGGCGGCGAGUGGCGAACGGGUGAGUAAUAUAUCGGAACGUGCCCUAGAGUGGGGGAUAACGUAGCGAAAGUUACGCUAAUACCGCAUACGAUCUAUGGAUGAAAGUGGGGGAUCGCAAGACCUCAUGCUCGUGGAGCGGCCGAUAUCUGAUUAGCUAGUUGGUAGGGUAAAAGCCUACCAAGGCUUCGAUCAGUAGCUGGUCUGAGAGGACGACCAGCCACACUGGGACUGAGACACGGCCCAGACUCCUACGGGAGGCAGCAGUGGGGAAUUUUGGACAAUGGGGGCAACCCUGAUCCAGCAAUGCCGCGUGAGUGAAGAAGGCCUUCGGGUUGUAAAGCUCUUUUGUCAGGGAAGAAACGGUGUUUUCUAAUACAGAGCACUAAUGACGGUACCUGAAGAAUAAGCACCGGCUAACUACGUGCCAGCAGCCGCGGUAAUACGUAGGGAGCAGGCGUUAAUCGGAAUUACUGGGCGUAAAGCGUGCGCAGGCGGUUUGGUAAGACGGAUGUGAAAUCCCUGGGCUCAACCUAGGAAUUGCAUUCGUGACUGCCCGGCUAGAGUGUGUCAGAGGGGGGUAGAAUUCCACGUGUAGCAGUGAAAUGCGUAGAUAUGUGGAGGAAUACCGAUGGCGAAGGCAGCCCCCUGGGAUAACACUGACGCUCAUGCACGAAAGCGUGGGGAGCAAACAGGAUUAGAUACCCUGGUAGUCCACGCCCUAAACGAUGUCUACUAGUUGUCGGGUCUUAAUUGACUUGGUAACGCAGCUAACGCGUGAAGUAGACCGCCUGGGGAGUACGGUCGCAAGAUUAAAACUCAAAGGAAUUGACGGGGACCCGCACAAGCGGUGGAUGAUGUGGAUUAAUUCGAUGCAACGCGAAAAACCUUACCUACCCUUGACAUGUACGGAAUUCUGCUGAGAGGUGGAAGUGCUCGAAAGAGAACCGUAACACAGGUGCUGCAUGGCUGUCGUCAUCUCGUGUCGUGAGAUGUUGGGUUAAGUCCCGCAACGAGCGCAACCCUUGUCAUUAGUUGCUACGAAAGGGCACUCUAAUGAGACUGCCGGUGACAAACCGGAGGAAGGUGGGGAUGACGUCAAGUCCUCAUGGCCCUUAUGGGUAGGGCUUCACACGUCAUACAAUGGUACAUACAGAGGGCCGCCAACCCGCGAGGGGGAGCUAAUCCCAGAAAGUGUAUCGUAGUCCGGAUUGUAGUCUGCAACUCGACUACAUGAAGUUGGAAUCGCUAGUAAUCGCGGAUCAGCAUGUCGCGGUGAAUACGUUCCCGGGUCUUGUACACACCGCCCGUCACACCAUGGGAGCGGGUUUCACCAGAAGUGGGUAGCCUAACCGCAAGGAGGGCGCCCACCACGGUGGGAUUCGUGACUGGGGUGAAGUCGAAACAAGGUAGCCGUAUCGGAAGGUGCGGCUG